GACGAACGCUGGCGGCGUGCUUAACACAUGCAAGUCGAACGGAAAGGCCCUUCGGGGUACUCGAGUGGCGAACGGGUGAGUAACACGUGGGUGAUCUGCCCUGCACUUUGGGAUAAGCCUGGGAAACUGGGUCUAAUACCGAAUAGGACCACGCGCUUCAUGGUGUGUGGUGGAAAGCUUUUGCGGUGUGGGAUGGGCCCGCGGCCUAUCAGCUUGUUGGUGGGGUAAUGGCCUACCAAGGCGACGACGGGUAGCCGGCCUGAGAGGGUGACCGGCCACACUGGGACUGAGAUACGGCCCAGACUCCUACGGGAGGCAGCAGUGGGGAAUAUUGCACAAUGGGCGCAAGCCUGAUGCAGCGACGCCGCGUGAGGGAUGACGGCCUUCGGGUUGUAAACCUCUCUCAAUAGGGACGAAGCGCAAGUGACGGUACCUAUAGAAGAAGCACCGGCCAACUACGUG
rnacentral:rRNA from 1 species